UGCAUUGAUUUAUUACACACCAUGUCAGUGUCACCUUGUUGCUCAAUUGCCUUGCCAUGCUGCUUGAUUUAAGUAGAUUGUUUGGCAGAUGCAAGGUGGCUCCUGAAUGUGAGAGACUGAUGGUUCAACAUAUCUACAGAAAUUGUAUGUGAGUAGUUCAGUCAUUGCUAGUUUGUAGAGGAACUAUGCAGGAAAUAGCACAAAAGAUUGGUGAAGUGAUUGCCUUGCUUGGAGAAAGGGAUCAGCAAAGUGAUUUGUUUCUGAAUCGUCCAAAGUGAUUGGUGAAGUGAUUGCUUUGUUCUGUAGGGUGCAGACAUGGCCACUCUUUAUAAUAGUUUUGUGUUCUAAUGCUUCUUCACUUGAUAUUAUCCAUUUCCCGCCUUGUGUACUCAGUACUGUUGAAGAAACUAUGCUACAACCAAGAAUUUGUGAUCGUGAUUUAAUUUAUAUACUUGUUCAAUACUGAGGGUGUUCAAAGA